UGCGAAACGAAGAAAUAAGCUUCAAUUUCUCCGCAUCAUGUUGAAGAAGNNNNNNNNNNACUGCGAUAAGCUUCGGGAAGCCGUGUGCAGGCGUUAAUACCCGUAGAUAUCCGAAUGGGGAAACCCACGCGAGUGAACCUCGCGCAUCCCAUGCUGAACACAUAGGCAUGGCGAAGGGAACCCGGGGAACUGAAACAUCUAAGUACCCGGAGGAAAAGAGAUCAUUCCGCUAGUAGUGGCGAGCGAACGCGGAACAGCCCAAACCGCCCGUGCUUGCACGGGCGGGGUUGUAGGGCCUGGCACACGAGAGUGACAAACCAGUUGGUUAGCUAAAGGCUUCUGGAAAGAGCGACCACAGAGG
rnacentral:rRNA from 1 species